CCUACGGGUGGCAUCAGUGGGGAAUAUUGGGCAAUGGGCGCAAGCCUGACCCCGCAACGCCGCGUGAAGGAAGAAGGCUUUCGGGUUGUAAACUUCUUUUCUCAGGGACGAAGCAAGUGACGGUACCUGAGGAAUAAGCCACGGCUAACUACGUGCCAGCAUCCGCGGUAAUACGUAGGUGGCAAGCGUUAUCCGGAUUUCCUGGGUGUAAAGGGCGUGUAGGCGGGGACGCAAGUCAGAUGUGAAAACCACGGGCUAAACCUGUGGACUGCAUGUGAAACUGUGUUUCUUGAGUACUGGAGAGGCAGACGGAAUUCCUAGUGUAGCGGUGAAAUGCGUAGAUAUUAGGAGGAACACCAGUGGCGAAGGCGGUCUGCUGGACAGCAACUGACGCUGAGGCGCGAAAGCGUGGGGAGCAAACAGGAGUAGAUACCCGGUAGUC
rnacentral:rRNA from 1 species